rnacentral:rRNA from 1 species
UACGUAGGGGGCUAGCGUUGUCCGGAUUUAUUGGGCGUAAAGAGCGUGUAGGCGGCCAUGUAGGUCCGGUGUGAAAACUCGAGGCUUAACCUCGAGAUGUCAUCGGAAACCAUUUGGCUAGAGUCCGGAAGAGGAGAGUGGAAUUCCUGGUGUAGCGGUGAAAUGCGCAGAUAUCAGGAAGAACACCAAUGGCGAAGGCAGCUCGCUGGGACGUUACUGACACUGAGGCGCGAAAGCGUGGGGAGCGAACAGG